GACGAACGCUGGCGGCGGGCUUAACACAUGCAAGUCGAACGGAAAGGCCCUGCUUGCGUGGGGUGCUCGAGUGGCGAACGGGUGAGUAACACGUGAGUAACCUGCUCUAGACUUUGGGAUAACUUCAGGAAAGUGGGGCUAAUAUCGUAUAGGAUCCCCCGUUGCAUGGUGGGGGUGGGAAAGUCGCGGCUGGUGUGGAUGGAUGCGCGGCUUAACAGCUUGCUGGUGGGGUAGGGGCUUACCAAGGCUGUGGCGGAUAGCCGGCCGGAGAGGGUGGCCGGCCACCUGGGGCCUGAGGUACGGCCCAGAGUGCUAUGGGAGACAGCAGUCGGAAGUAUUGCACAAUGGUCCGAAGCCUGAUGCGGAGGCGCUGCGGGCGUGAUGACGGCCUUCGGGUUGUAAAAAGCUUUAGCCUGUGACGAAGCGGGAGUGACGGUAACGGGUGAAGAAGCACCGGCUAACUUCGUG
rnacentral:rRNA from 1 species